rnacentral:lncRNA from 1 species
UUAUUUUCUAAAGAGCAAGUAUUUAAUUUUUUUUUUUUUUUUUUUUUUUUGGAAAACUCAUGUGAUAGGCACAGCAGAAAGUGAACAUUUUCAUAGAGCUGAAGAAGAUAAUGAGGCAUUGGACGAUGAAAUAGACGAUUCUGAAGGUAGGCUGUUUAUUUUAUGAUAGUCAAUUUUCUUACUUUAUAAAGUUCAUUUACAUGUUCGACUUUUAUUAUUGGUUUUGCAGGUAUAGGUAUAGGUGUAGGACACUUGCCAAGGACUCUCGAUGAUCAUCCUUUGAGGAGCAUGUAAACAAAUUAAGACAUCUCGUAUCGUUCGUACAACUCGAGAGAAAAUUCGAGUUUUAUACAAUUUAGUAAGCAGACGAGCAACAAGUUCUGAAGUACAUGAUUUGUUGGUUCACGAUAUCGGAGCCAUCAUUCGUUCACAUUGCCCAAUGAAUAUGAGUUAUUAGCAAACCAUUUCUCCAAGUGAGAAAAAUGACCUUAUGGAUGAGAUCACGAUAAGCAUGCGCAAAUGUAUUUAUGCUGCUGGAAAAUUAAUAGCGGA